GUGACAACUAGCUGAUGUUUUAUAAAAACUUGGUAGGGAAGUAUGAAAACAUGGUGCUUUAAUAAUCUGUGACUCCCAGGAGAGUUAUUUUUAGUAUUUCUGUGACUUAUCCUCAUGUGACUUUUUUCCUGAAUUCAAAUAAACAAUAGUAAGUUAUUUUUGAAGAGUGCUGAACCAUUCUUGUUUAUUUGGAAUGUAUCAUUGGUGCAGUGAUAUUGGAAGUCUA